rnacentral:lncRNA from 1 species
GAAGAUCUUCACCUGCUCACAUCUCAUCCUUCUUGCAGCUGGCUGAGUAUAUAGCAAAGGCAAGUGACAAGAAUCAGAUAUUCAAAACCUUCCAGGCUCGUGUUUGCAGCGUCAGUUUUUAUGUGAGCGGGAGACUUCUCCAGCAGACUCUUCCCUACACCUGCUUUCAAGCUCUUGCUUUCCUCAGCCUCUUUCCUGCCUGUCCUGUUCCAGAGUUCCUCCACAACAGAGCUGCAGCCUUCCCAAGGCUCAGCCAUGCUCCUGGCGCUCCUCCCAGUGCUGGGGAUACACUUUGUCCUGAGAGAUGCCCAAGCUCAGUCAGUGACACAGCCCGAUGCUCGCGUCACUGUCUCUGAAGGAGCCUCUCUGCAGCUGAGAUGCAAGUAUUCCUACUCUGCGACACCUUAUCUGUUCUGGUAUGUCCAGUACCCGCGGCAGGGGCUGCAGCUGCUCCUCAAGUACUAUUCAGGAGACC